rnacentral:rRNA from 1 species
AGAGUUUGAUCAUGGCUCAGAACGAACGCUGGCGGCAGGCUUAACACAUGCAAGUCGAACGCCCCGCAAGGGGAGUGGCAGACGGGUGAGUAACGCGUGGGAACCUACCCAGUGGUACGGAACAACCCAGGGAAACUUGGGCUAAUACCGUAUACGCCCCCAGGGGGAAAGAUUUAUCGCCAUUGGACGGGCCCGCGUUGGAUUAGCUAGUUGGUGGGGUAAUGGCCUACCAAGGCAACGAUCCAUAGCUGGUCUGAGAGGAUGAUCAGCCACACUGGGACUGAGACACGGCCCAGACUCCUACGGGAGGCAGCAGUGGGGAAUCUUGGACAAUGGGCGCAAGCCUGAUCCAGCCAUGCCGCGUGAGUGAAGAAGGCCUUAGGGUUGUAAAGCUCUUUCGGCGGGGACGAUAAUGACGGUACCCGCAGAAGAAGCCCCGGCUAACUCCGUGCCAGCAGCCGCGGUAAUUC